CACCUUUUCCCUUUUAUCACACCCUGAAAAGAAUUAAUUGAUGAGUAAUGCGCUCGCAUGGAUGCGAGCCAAGCCAUGCUUGUACAUGGAUGUACCUUCAUGGCGUGUACGUUCAUAUCAAUUUAUUCUUUGAAGGAUCUGGUGUGAUGAAGGGCGCCGUGG
rfam:Pseudoalteromonas phenolica strain KCTC 12086 chromosome I, complete sequence.